GACCGUUUAGCUUAAUCGGGUAAAGCAGCCGGCUCAUAACCGGAAGAUAGCGAGUUCGAAUCUCGUGGCGGUCACCA
rnacentral:tRNA from 2 species